rnacentral:rRNA from 1 species
UACGUAGGUGGCAAGUGUUAUCCGGAUUUAUUGGGCGUAAAGGGAACGCAGGCGGUCUUUUAAGUCUGAUGUGAAAGCCUUCGGCUUAACCGGAGUAGUGCAUUGGAAACUGGGAGACUUGAGUGCAGAAGAGGAGAGUGGAACUCCAUGUGUAGCGGUGAAAUGCGUAGAUAUAUGGAAGAACACCAGUGGCGAAAGCGGCUCUCUGGUCUGUAACUGACGCUGAGGUUCGAAAGCGUGGGUAGCAAACAGG